AAAUUGAAGAGUUUGAUCAUGGCUCAGAUUGAACGCUGGCGGCAGGCCUAACACAUGCAAGUCGAACGGUAACAGGAAACAGCUUGCUGUUUCGCUGACGAGUGGCGGACGGGUGAGUAAUGUCUGGGAAACUGCCCGAUGGAGGGGGAUAACUACUGGAAACGGUAGCUAAUACCGCAUAACGUCGCAAGACCAAAGAGGGGGACCUUCGGGCCUCUUGCCAUCGGAUGUGCCCAGAUGGGAUUAGCUAGUAGGUGGGGUAACGGCUCACCUAGGCGACGAUCCCUAGCUGGUCUGAGAGGAUGACCAGCCACACUGGAACUGAGACACGGUCCAGACUCCUACGGGAGGCAGCAGUGGGGAAUAUUGCACAAUGGGCGCAAGCCUGAUGCAGCCAUGCCGCGUGUAUGAAGAAGGCCUUCGGGUUGUAAAGUACUUUCAGCGGGGAGGA
rnacentral:rRNA from 1 species